UCUACGGGAUGCAGCAGUGAGGAAUAUUGGUCAAUGGGCGCGAGCCUGAACCAGCCAAGUAGCGUGAAGGAUGAAUGCCCUACGGGUUGUAAACUUCUUUUAUAAAGGAAUAAAGUGAGGCACGUGUGCCUUUUUGUAGGUAAUUUAUGAAUAAGGAUCGGCUAACUCCGUGCCAGCAGACGCGGUAAUACGGAGGAUCCGAGCGUUAUCCGGAUUUAUUGGGUUUAAGGGGAGCUUAGAUGGGUUGUUACGUCAGUUGUGAAAGUUUGCGGCUCAACCGUAAAAUUGCAAUUGAUACUGGCAGUCUUGAGUACAGUUGAGGUAGGCGGAAUUCGUGGUGUAGCGGUGAAAUGCUUAGAUAUCACGAAGAACUCCGAUUGCGAAGGCAGCUUACUAAACUGCCACUGACAUUGAUGCUCGAAAGUGUGGGUAUCAAACAGGAUUAGAUACCCUUGUAGUC
rnacentral:rRNA from 1 species